rnacentral:rRNA from 1 species
UACGGGAGGCAGCAGUGGGGAAUAUUGCACAAUGGGCGCAAGCCUGAUGCAGCCAUGCCGCGUGUAUGAAGAAGGCCUUCGGGUUGUAAAGUACUUUCAGUCGUGAGGAAGGUGUUAAGGUUAAUAACCUUAGCAAUUGACGUUAGCGACAGAAGAAGCACCGGCUAACUCCGUGCCAGCAGCCGCGGUAAUACGGAGGGUGCGAGCGUUAAUCGGAAUUACUGGGCGUAAAGGGCACGCAGGCGGUUAAUUAAGUUGGAUGUGAAAUCCCCGGGCUUAACCUGGGAAUGGCAUUCAAGACUGGUUAGCUAGAGUCUUGUAGAGGGGGUAGAAUUCCAUGUGUAGCGGUGAAAUGCGUAGAGAUGUGGAGGAAUACCGGUGGCGAAGGCGGCCCCUGGACAAAGACUGACGCUCAUGUGCGAAAGCGUGGGGAGCAACAGGAUUAGAUAC